rnacentral:rRNA from 1 species
GUGUCAGCCGCCGCGGUAAGACGAACCGUCCAAACGUUAUUCGGAAUCACUGGGCUUAAAGGGUGCGUAGGCGGUCCGGGAAGUUGGGUGUGAAAGCCCUCGGCUCAACCGAGGAAUUGCGUCCAAAACUGCCGGACUUGAGGGAGACAUAGGUGAGCGGAACUUAGGGUGGAGCGGUGAAAUGCGUUGAGAUCCUAAGGAACACCAGUAGCGAAAGCGGCUCACUGGGUCUCUUCUGACGCUGAUGCACGAAAGCUAGGGGAGCGAAGAGGAUUAGAAACCCGGGUAGUCC